rnacentral:rRNA from 1 species
AGUGAACGCUGGCGGUAGGCCUAACACAUGCAAGUCGAACGGCAGCACAGUAAGAGCUUGCUCUUACGGGUGGCGAGUGGCGGACGGGUGAGGAAUACAUCGGACUCUACUUUUUCGUGGGGGAUAACGUAGGGAAACUUACGCUAAUACCGCAUACGACCUACGGGUGAAAGCAGGGGAUCUUCGGACCUUGCGCGAUUGAAUGAGUCGAUGUCGGAUUAGCUAGUUGGCGGGGUAAAGGCCCACCAAGGCGACGAUCCGUAGCUGGUCUGAGAGGAUGAUCAGCCACACUGGAACUGAGACACGGUCCAGACUCCUACGGGAGGCAGCGGUGGGGAAUAUUGGACAAUGGGCGCAAGCCUGAUCCAGCCAUACCGCGGGGGUGAAGAAGGCCUUCGGGUUGUAAAGCCCUUUUGUUGGGAAAGAAAAGCAGCAGGUUAAUACCCCGCUGUUCUGACGGUACCCAAAGAAUAAGCACCGGCUAACUUCGUG